AGUAUUUUAGGAUUUCCAUGACAUUUAAUUAUUUCAGUGCAUAUGUGCAAGAGUGCCAAAGAAGAGAGCCUUGUGGGGAGAGGAAUUCCAGAUCACAGAAGAAUUCCCAUAUUCAAACAGGAUGUCCAUUAUACAUUCCUUGCUCAUCAUGAAGAACAGAACAAUGACAAGGACCAAGCAGAAUCAGAAGGCUAUCUUCACACUAGAGUAAUGACUUGGACAGCAACA
rnacentral:lncRNA from 1 species